UGUUAAUUUAACAUAAUAACACUAUAAGUCUAUAAGUCUAUGUUAAUUCAACAUAAUAACAUUAAAAUAGACAUUAAGGUAACAAUAAAACAAUAGAAAAGUGUCUUUAUCAUGUAUGAAUUUAAAACUUUAAUGUAAAAACUAUCUUAAUAGCUUAUUUAAGGAUUUUUUAUAUUUUUAUAUGUUUAAUUAAAAUUUU
rnacentral:lncRNA from 1 species